rnacentral:tRNA from 1 species
CAUUAAGUGACUGAAAGCAAGUAAUGGUCUCUUAAACCAGUUUAUGGUAAUUUAGCAAUUACCCUUAAUGA